UACCUGGUUGAUCCUGCCUGUAGCAUAUGCUUGUCUCAAAGAUUAAGCCAUGCAAGUCUAAGAACACACGGCCGGUACAGUGAAACUGCGAAUGGCUCAUUAAAUCAGUUAUGGUUAUGGGUCGGAGGCAAAGACCACCGCGGAAGACCGCGGAGGGCUGUAACUCGGUGGGUCGGUUGGGUGCCAUCCCCCGGACCGUGUGCCACAGUUGUUCCGAGCCCCCCGCACCCCAAGGCCGAGAUCCAGGCCCUGGGUGACGCAGAACUUCAAGACCCCGUGGAGACCCAACCAUAAGAGCCAGGGGUCUCAAACUCGGUUUGUCCAGAGCCCCCGGCGUACCCUCCAAGGGUGCCAAAGCACGCGGAGAUCGGACCCCGUUUGUGGCUCCAGCCCCGGCCAAAAGGUCGGGUGGGCGCCCAUUCAUUCCCUAUGGAGGGCCCAUUUCCGGAUGGCUAAAAACGACAUUUCCGGCUCUCCCGGGAGAUCGGGGCCCCCAAUACGUGCAUGUCAUAUACCGUUUUAAAGCUCCGAGCCUCCUGAUCAC
rnacentral:ncRNA from 1 species